AUACGUAGGGGGCGAGCGUUGUCCGGAAUGAUUGGGCGUAAAGGGCGCGUAGGCGGCCCGGUAAGUCUGGAGUGAAAGUCCUGUUUUUAAGAUGGGAAUUGCUUUGGAUACUGUCGGGCUUGAGUGCAGGAGAGGUAAGUGGAAUUCCCAGUGUAGCGGUGAAAUGCGUAGAGAUUGGGAGGAACACCAGUGGCGAAGGCGGCUUACUGGACUGUAACUGACGCUGAGGCGCGAAAGUGUGGGGAGCAAACAGGAUUAGAUACCCUGGUAGUCCACACUGUAAACGAUGAAUGCUAGGUGUAGGGGGUAUCGACCCCUUCUGUGCCGCAGUCAACACAAUAAGCAUUCCGCCUGGGGAGUACGGCCGCAAGGUUGAAACUCAAAUGAAUUGGCGGGG
rnacentral:rRNA from 1 species